rnacentral:rRNA from 1 species
CACGUAGGGCGCAAGCGUUGUCCGGAAUUAUUGGGCGUAAAGAGCUCGUAGGCGGACUGUCACGUCUGCUGUGAAAAGCUGGGGCUUAACCCUGGCCUUGCAGUGGAUACGGGCAGACUAGAGGUAGGUAGGGGGAGAAUGGAAUUCCCGGUGUAGCGGUGAAAUGCGCAGAUAUCGGGAGGAACACCGGUGGCGAAGGCGGUUCUCUGGGCCGUAACUGACGCUGAGGAGCGAAAGCGUGGGGAGCGAACAGG